UCAUUCACAAAAUGGAGAGUUUGAUCCUGGCUCAGGAUGAACGCUGGCGGUAUGCUUAACACAUGCAAGUCGAACGGUGUUUUCGGACACAGUGGCGGACGGGUGAGUAACGCGUGAGAAUCUAGCUUCAGGUCGGGGACAACCACUGGAAACGGUGGCUAAUACCGGAUGUGCCGAGAGGUAAAAGGCUUGCUGCCUGAAGAUGAGCUCGCGUCUGAUUAGCUAGUAGGUGUGGUAAGAGCGCACCUAGGCGACGAUCAG
rnacentral:rRNA from 2 species